UGAGAGCAGUUGUCCAUACCACCCCAGGGCUCCGUCUGAUGGUGUGGGCAGGGAGGGUAGAGUGGUCGCAGGGCCUGGGCCUGAGUUAGCAGACUCAACGUGUCAAGUGGGAACCCCCAUUCUUGCUGUGGGACUCCCUCUUGGUGAACCAACAAGUGGCACAGAGACUAGUAAACUCUCUCCCCUGUACCAUUCUGCUGAAUCUGUCUGAAAUGGAAUCUGAUCUUCGCAGGAAUGAAGCCCUUCCUGUUCUGGCUCUAGGGCCGCCAGGGGUCUUGGGGAGGUGCCCUGGACUCACCUGCUGUUUGAAGUAGCGCCGUUCCUCCUCGUCUAUCAGCACCAGAUUGAGCAGGGGAGAUGCCACCUGAGCGUGUCAUGGCACACUCAAGGGAAUGCUUCUGCCUGGUGGGAAUUCGCAUUCUGCAGCUCAGUGAUCUGCUGAAGCAAAAACGUGACUCUGCAGUGCCACUCCAGGUCCCGUUGUGUCUUCUCUCACCGCCCUGACGCAGAGACCCAGAAAAUGACAAGUCGCUCUACUUGCACAACUGGUGAAAAAAUGGCACGUACAGAGAGUCAGGAGAGCCCAGUCCUACCCCCGCAAGGGCCUGCAUGGUGACACUCAAGAACCUGCGGUCACUGUCCCCUCCUUCCACAUAGAACACACACCUGGGGGAGAAAUCAUCCUCAACCUGGCAUAAGAAAGUGUGAUCAAAGAAAUGUGCAACAGCAAGUGAACCGACAUCAGCUUUAACAUUUCUGUGCCCUAGUUCCCUCAGGGAAGAGGCUGUGCCCUGGUGCCUGCUGGUUGAGUACCUAUUAUGUGUGCCAAGACCUGCCCAUCACAUAUAUUAUCUCUAGUCCUCACAAGACCCUAGCAAAGACUGUGCUAUUAUAAACUGAGCCCUAUCUAAUUUAAGUCACCCUGUCUGCAUGACCCUCAAUCAUGUACCAGGCUGUCCUUCUAAUGAAUACACAAGUGGGACAAAUAUACUUUCAUCAGGAGGAAAAAGAAAUUAAUCAUAAGGAUAAGACGGUUAAUUACAUAAAGCACUUGAUUUUCAAGCUGUGGAACUGUUCCCCAGAAGAAACGAAGGAAGGAGGGACGGAAAAAAGAAAGAACCAAAUCCAAGAGACUAUGGCUUAUAAGAACAUUUUUGAGUUAAAAUGGAAUUCAAUGAGGAAGGCGGACAAGGCACAAUGAUAUCAACUUUCUUACUCCCAUACAGCAAGACCUAUACUGUGCAUCAUUCACAGAGCCAGACCUAGGAGCCAGAUCAAAGCUCCACCCACUUCAUUCAUAGUCAAAGAAUGCAAUGAAGGAGAAAACCACACUACCACAACCUUGGCGAAGUUACUCACUAUCCUCGCUCUGGUGCCCUGAGAUCAGUCGACUGUUGACACAGAUAGACCAUACUCUGCAUGAAGCAUUAUCCCUUGACAGCUCAACACUAUUCUCACAAGGUGAUUUGGUUAUCCCUGCCUUACAGGUGAGAAAGCUGAGGCCCAGAGAGGCACAGAGCUUCCUCAAAGUCACAGGGUCAACAACAGCCCACAGUGCUCAGAGGCUCAGGAAGAGUUAUCAAUGGAAGCUAAAUGGUUGGGAGAAAACCCAGCAGGGAUGAUGAUUCAAGGAGUUAGACAAGAAACCAGGCAGGACAGAUAUGCAAGUUGCUCCCUCAACUUCCCUUUCACUUAGACUAGAGGGAGGCCUUGACUCCAUUCCCCUGAGCAGCUUAUUUCACAUUGCGGGGGUUGGGGACACUCUGGUUAUCUUUCAUGUAUUGAUGAGGUAUCACGACCACCUGGAGUGAUGGUAUAAGACACAGACUAAAUGUGCCUGUUUAUAUGCUCAUAUUACAGAGCCAAAGAAACCAUGCAAAAACUUUAAAACUACUAAGUAGGGAAGUACUU